UACAGAGGUCUCAAGCGUUGUUCGGAUUCAUUGGGCGUAAAGGGUGCGUAGGUGGCGUGGUAAGUCGGGUGUGAAAUUUCGGAGCUUAACUCCGAAACUGCAUUCGAUACUGCCGUGCUUGAGGACUGGAGAGGAGACUGGAAUUUACGGUGUAGCAGUGAAAUGCGUAGAGAUCGUAAGGAAGACCAGUGCGAAGGCGGGUCUCUGGACAGUUCCUGACACUGAGGCACGAAGGCCAGGGAGCAAACGGG
rnacentral:rRNA from 1 species